UUAAGCGACUAAGCGUACACGGUGGAUGCCCUGGCAGUCAGAGGCGAUGAAGGACGUGCUAAUCUGCGAUAAGCGUCGGUAAGGUGAUAUGAACCGUUAUAACCGGCGAUUUCCGAAUGGGGAAACCCAGUGUGAUUCGUCACACUAUCAUUAACUGAAUCCAUAGGUUAAUGAGGCGAACCGGGGGAACUGAAACAUCUAAGUACCCCGAGGAAAAGAAAUCAACCGAGAUUCCCCCAGUAGCGGCGAGCGAACGGGGAGCAGCCCAGAGCCUGAAUCAGUGUGUGUGUUAGUGGAAGCGUCUGGAAAGGCGCGCGAUACAGGGUGACAGCCCCGUACACAAAAAUGCACAUGCUGUGAGCUCGAUGAGUAGGGCGGGACACGUGGUAUCCUGUCUGAAUAUGGGGGGACCAUCCUCCAAGGCUAAAUACUCCUGACUGACCGAUAGUGAACCAGUACCGUGAGGGAAAGGCGAAAAGAACCCCGGCGAGGGGAGUGAAAAAGAACCUGAAACCGUGUACGUACAAGCAGUGGGAGCACAGAGCAAUCUGUGUGACUGCGUACCUUUUGUAUAAUGGGUCAGCGACUUAUAUUCUGUAGCAAGGUUAACCGAAUAGGGGAGCCGAAGGGAAACCGAGUCUUAACUGGGCGUUAAGUUGCAGGGUAUAGACCCGAAACCCGGUGAUCUAGCCAUGGGCAGGUUGAAGGUUGGGUAACACUAACUGGAGGACCGAACCGACUAAUGUUGAAAAAUUAGCGGAUGACUUGUGGCUGGGGGUGAAAGGCCAAUCAAACCGGGAGAUAGCUGGUUCUCCCCGAAAGCUAUUUAGGUAGCGCCUCGUGAAUUCAUCUCCGGGGGUAGAGCACUGUUUCGGCAAGGGGGUCAUCCCGACUUACCAACCCGAUGCAAACUGCGAAUACCGGAGAAUGUUAUCACGGGAGACACACGGCGGGUGCUAACGUCCGUCGUGAAGAGGGAAACAACCCAGACCGCCAGCUAAGGUCCCAAAGUCAUGGUUAAGUGGGAAACGAUGUGGGAAGGCCCAGACAGCCAGGAUGUUGGCUUAGAAGCAGCCAUCAUUUAAAGAAAGCGUAAUAGCUCACUGGUCGAGUCGGCCUGCGCGGAAGAUGUAACGGGGCUAAACCAUGCACCGAAGCUGCGGCAGCGACGCUGAUGCGUUGUUGGGUAGGGGAGCGUUCUGUAAGCCUGCGAAGGUGUGCUGUGAGGCAUGCUGGAGGUAUCAGAAGUGCGAAUGCUGACAUAAGUAACGAUAAAGCGGGUGAAAAGCCCGCUCGCCGGAAGACCAAGGGUUCCUGUCCAACGUUAAUCGGGGCAGGGUGAGUCGACCCCUAAGGCGAGGCCGAAAGGCGUAGUCGAUGGGAAACAGGUUAAUAUUCCUGUACUUGGUGUUACUGCGAAGGGGGGACGGAGAAGGCUAUGUUGGCCGGGCGACGGUUGUCCCGGUUUAAGCGUGUAGGCUGGUUUUCCAGGCAAAUCCGGAAAAUCAAGGCUGAGGCGUGAUGACGAGGCACUACGGUGCUGAAGCAACAAAUGCCCUGCUUCCAGGAAAAGCCUCUAAGCAUCAGGUAACAUCAAAUCGUACCCCAAACCGACACAGGUGGUCAGGUAGAGAAUACCAAGGCGCUUGAGAGAACUCGGGUGAAGGAACUAGGCAAAAUGGUGCCGUAACUUCGGGAGAAGGCACGCUGAUAUGUAGGUGAAGUCCCUCGCGGAUGGAGCUGAAAUCAGUCGAAGAUACCAGCUGGCUGCAACUGUUUAUUAAAAACACAGCACUGUGCAAACACGAAAGUGGACGUAUACGGUGUGACGCCUGCCCGGUGCCGGAAGGUUAAUUGAUGGGGUCAGCGCAAGCGAAGCUCUUGAUCGAAGCCCCGGUAAACGGCGGCCGUAACUAUAACGGUCCUAAGGUAGCGAAAUUCCUUGUCGGGUAAGUUCCGACCUGCACGAAUGGCGUAAUGAUGGCCAGGCUGUCUCCACCCGAGACUCAGUGAAAUUGAACUCGCUGUGAAGAUGCAGUGUACCCGCGGCAAGACGGAAAGACCCCGUGAACCUUUACUAUAGCUUGACACUGAACAUUGAGCCUUGAUGUGUAGGAUAGGUGGGAGGCUUUGAAGUGUGGACGCCAGUCUGCAUGGAGCCGGCCUUGAAAUACCACCCUUUAAUGUUUGAUGUUCUAACGUUGACCCGUAAUCCGGGUUGCGGACAGUGUCUGGUGGGUAGUUUGACUGGGGCGGUCUCCUCCUAAAGAGUAACGGAGGAGCACGAAGGUUGGCUAAUCCUGGUCGGACAUCAGGAGGUUAGUGCAAUGGCAUAAGCCAGCUUGACUGCGAGCGUGACGGCGCGAGCAGGUGCGAAAGCAGGUCAUAGUGAUCCGGUGGUUCUGAAUGGAAGGGCCAUCGCUCAACGGAUAAAAGGUACUCCGGGGAUAACAGGCUGAUACCGCCCAAGAGUUCAUAUCGACGGCGGUGUUUGGCACCUCGAUGUCGGCUCAUCACAUCCUGGGGCUGAAGUAGGUCCCAAGGGUAUGGCUGUUCGCCAUUUAAAGUGGUACGCGAGCUGGGUUUAGAACGUCGUGAGACAGUUCGGUCCCUAUCUGCCGUGGGCGCUGGAGAAUUGAGGGGGCUGCUCCUAGUACGAGAGGACCGGAGUGGACGCAUCACUGGUGUUCGGGUUGUCAUGCCAAUGGCACUGCCCGGUAGCUAAAUGCGGAAGAGAUAAGUGCUGAAAGCAUCUAAGCACGAAACUUGCCCCGAGAUGAGUUCUCCCUGACUCCUUGAGAGUCCUGAAGGAACGUUGAAGACGACGACGUUGAUAGGCCGGGUGUGUAAGCGCAGCGAUGCGUUGAGCUAACCGGUACUAAUGAACCGUGAGGCUUAACCUU
rnacentral:rRNA from 1 species